AUGAAGCAAGUGCUCUUUUUGCGCUUUAAGUAAUGGGGUGAUGUAUUGCUUUGAGUGAACCCUACUGUUUUAACUACCUUAGUGGAAAAAUAGUGUUUUAUCUUGUUUAUUUUUUUGAGUCUCCUAGGUCUUAAGUUGUUUGUUGAAUGCUCUGAUUUAAUAGGGGUAGCUUUUGUGAGAUAAUACAAAACAAUCAAUUUUCUUGUACUAAAUAAAAAGGGAAAAUGGAAAUGUUCAUGAUUGCCAACUAUGGUGUAUUAUAACAAAAGGCAUGCUUGCGACUGGCUAUCUUGAUUUUAGAUUGGUAUGGUAUUAGCCGUAGGCAUUCAUUUUUCGCUCUGUAUUUUGUGAAAGCAAAGACUUGAGCAUUUUGUGGGAUUUACCAACUUAAAAAUGAUUUCAGAUGAAGCUUGAAAAGAAGAGAUCAUCAUCUAUGGAUAAAAUUAUGAAUAAGCUGAGAUCAGCUCAGAAGAAAGCCCAAGAAAUGAGAACCUCCGUAUUAUCCAACCAGGCACGCCAAGUUUCCAGGACUUCUCACAAGGCUAUAUCAUUCCGUCGAACCCGUCAAAUGGGGUCCUUAAGUGGUUGUUUCAUAUGCCAUGCUUUCUAGUGUCUCAUCUUGCCAUAUAGUGUUGUGCUUGAAUCAGCUUAACAUGCCUGGUUCCUGGUCAGACUGAAGAGGAAUUACACCUGCAGCAGAAGGCCGUGUACAGAAGCAGACAACUAUUACAUAGACGCUACAAUGCAGUUCUGCAGGGACAUGAAGCUCAAGUAUUUCCAUUAAGAUUCAGGUAAGUUGCAUUGUUGCGGUGUUCCAGGCACCAACAUAUCCAGAAAUGACUGAUAAGUUUCGUACGUGUGUAUGUAUAUAUAUCAAGAAGUAUGUUUUCCUCAUUAUGACAUUUAUGACAUUUUGCCUCGCAGUUUGAAAUGCCAUUUCCUUAGCUUCCUUCCAAUUUUAAAAUGGUUAAAUUACUAUUAGUUCUUGUAUUUUGAUAUCGACUACUUUGCCAUCUUCCUUCCUUUCUCCU
rnacentral:misc_RNA from 1 species